rnacentral:rRNA from 1 species
UACGUAGGGGGCGAGCGUUGUCCGGAAUUACUGGGCGUAAAGGGUGCGCAGGCGGUGCUCUAAGUCAGAUGUGAAAUAUCCAUGCUUAACGUGGAGGGUGCAUUUGAAACUGGAGCACUUGAGUGCAGGAGAGGUAAGUGGAAUUCCUAGUGUAGCGGUGAAAUGCGUAGAUAUUAGGAGGAACACCAGUGGCGAAGGCGACUUACUGGACUGUAACUGACGCUGAGGCACGAAAGCGUGGGGAGCAAACAGG